rnacentral:rRNA from 1 species
CCCUUAGAUGUUCUGGGCCGCACACGCGCUACACUGAAGGAGGCAGCGUGUACUCCUGGAUCGAAAGAUUUGGGUAACCCGCGAAUCUCCUUCGUGCUAGGGAUUGCGGUUUGCAAUUAUCCUUCAUGAACGAGGAAUUCCCAGUAAGUGCAAGUCAUAAGCUUGCGCUGACUACGUCCCUGCCCUUUGUACACACCGCCCGUCGCUACUACCGAUUGAAUGAUUUAGUGAGGACUUCGGACUGGGACCGAUGCGGCUUUCGGGCUGCGUCGGUAUUCUGGAAAGAUGUCCAAACUGUAUCAUUUAGAGGAAGUAAAAGUCGUAACA